AGAGUUCGAUUAUGGCUCAGGAUGAACGCUGGCGGCGUGCCUAACACAUGCAAGUCGAACGAAGCACUUAUCUUAGAUUCUUCGGAUGAAGAGAUUUGUGACUGAGUGGCGGACGGGUGAGUAACGCGUGGGUAACCUGCCCUGUACAGGGGGAUAACAGUUAGAAAUGACUGCUAAUACCGCAUAAGCGCACAAGGACACAUGUCCUGGUGUGAAAAACUCCGGUGGUACAGGAUGGGCCCGCGUCUGAUUAGGUAGUUGGUGGGGCAACGGCCUACCAAGCCGACGAUCAGUAGCCGACCUGAGAGGGUGACCGGCCACAUUGGGACUGAGACACGGCCCAA
rnacentral:rRNA from 1 species